CCUCUCUCAGGGUCGCACCUGGAGAGUUUCCAGUACUCUACCGGUCUCGACUAUGGGAGGGAGAGUCAAGCAGAGGCAUAUCCAUUCCAUUUCUAGCUUGGGCAGUGGCUAGCUAGUGAAAAGCAAUCUGCUACAAGU
rnacentral:snoRNA from 1 species